AAAGAAGCAUCUUAGCCUAAUAUUUCAUCAAAUAUCAGACACUUUCUCUCAUUUCUAGUUUUCUCUGCAGGCAAAUUAAGAAGGUUAAAAAUGGUGUUCUCGGCCAUACUAAGUUGCUUUGUUCCAUCUUCUUCCUCGACCCGAGUCUUCAAUGAUGCUGGUGGGUCUAGUUUGAAGGAACCUAAGAGCAAGUCAUCGAAAUCUUCAUCAAGAGCUCCGAUCCCGGUCUCUUACUUCCCUGUUAACUCCUACCUCUCUCGCUUGUAGUGAUUAAUUUGAUCGCAAGUUGGAGUUAGACUUUGAAGAGUACCAAUGGAUUAUUGAUUCAGUUUAUGUAUUAUAUGAUGGGGUUCCUCAUCAUGCAGUUGCUUGAGGAGUGAUGAUGGAGUUUGUUUUAAUGUACAGUUUGAUGAUUAAUUUGCAAUAAUUAGAUUCAAGAAUAUUGUUAAUUUCCUCCAACUGCAUGCAAUGAAACAACUCUUUUUAAUAUAAAGUUGGGUAUGAUGAUACCAUGAAAUUACCUGCAACCAAAUAAGACAUUAACCCCAACUGAACUUCCUUGUUGUUUCUCAAUUUGAUCAGUAAAGGAGGAAGUCUUAAAAAAGCCAAUGGAAAAUGACCCCACCAUUUUAGAGAAACACUAGGUGAAAUUUGAUCCACAGAAUCUUCUAUACAUAUUUUAAAGUUGUGAGUGUCUCUUAAACCUAUAAUGGACAAUAUCUAUGUGAGAGAUGACAAGUUAUUAUAAAUAAUAUUAGAGUUAAUUCUUUAUCCGUGAAAGUUUGUUUGACCUUGUAAAUGGUUUUUAUCUUUUUGUUAUCAUAAUUCUAUGCAUUACAAUGAGGACGUUGCGUCUUUCUGAAGGCCACGCUAUAUAUGUAUUGAUUUUUCUUCAUUUUAUAAGCAUUCUGAAGGCCACGCUAUAUAUGUAUUGAUUUUUCUUCAUUUUAUAAGCAUUUUUUAAAGUCAUGAGUGUUUAUGAGGCACAAAACGGAUCACUACAAAUAUUUAUAUAGAUUUGCAUUUAAAUCCAAUAAAAUAUUAAAGAAAAGACUAAAACGGAACUUCGGUAUUGUAACUACUUAUGACCUAGUAGUAAACCUGAUUUUAAUAUAUCAUAUUAGAUUAUUUAUUUUUUAAAUACAUAAAUUGUUAGGUAAUAGAUCAACGAUAUAUACUAGACCGUUAACAUUAUCUAUAUAUUUAUCUUUGAAUUGAGCAGCAACAGCGAUUGACAUGCUUGUUGGUGGGACCUAAUUCAACAAUGAAUUGUAUUAUCACAUAUUUUAAUACUUAAAGUUUCUAUAAUUAAUUAGUCUUUGAAAAUGAUACAUAUUUAUUGUAGAGGCUACAACAAAAGCCUCUACAAUUAUUUUUAAGAGAAAUUAUUUAAGGGAUUUUUUGUAAUAAGAACAUGAAAUAAUAAUUUAUUUUUUUUCAUAUGUUAUAUUCUAACAAAAAAAAGUCCUUUAUUUUUUCAAAAAAGCGUCUAUUUCAUAAAUUAAUAUUAGUGAUUUUCUAGAUUUUUAAAAAUUUACUAAGCACAAUAUUAAAAACUUUUGUAUUCUAGGGAAGUCAUGAGACUUGGUCAAGAUAUGGAAUAUGGGAUGACGUUAAGCCUGAGAAAGAAAAUAUAAUUUCCCGGAAUAAGUAAAAGUAGGAUGUCUAAGGAAGAAAGCAUGAGAAUCACAUUGGAUGAUUAGUUUUAUCCUAUCAUAUUUAUUUAAUCUUAUUCCAAAGGAGACUUUAACUAAUAUGUUUUAAUUUUCUUCAUUGUUUUGGUCCCACCCUCUAUUUGUUUGUUACCUAGACCUUCCCAUUUUUGCUAGAAGGUUUUCUUCUUCUGGGUCAGACUAAUCAAAAUUUCAAAAGUUUAGUUGUUGGGUCUUUUUCUAUAGUCAGAUCAAGGUAGCAGCAGCUGCCACGAUUGUCACAGGAAGCUCAAGGGAAUCAACCAUCUCAUAUAUUUAUCGUUUAGCUUUCCUUGAUAUGCAAGUAAACCAACCCUACUACCAUUUCAGAUCUGCAUUAUAAAUAGAGAAGCAUAUGUUAGCCUAAUAUUUCAUCAAAUAUCACACACUUCCUCUCUUUUCUAGUUUUCUCUGCAGGCAAAUCAAGAAGGGUUAAAAAUGGUGUUCUCAGCCAUACUAAGUUGCUUUGUUCCAUCAUCUUCCUCGUCCCGAGUCUACAAUGAUGCUGGUGGGUCUAGUGUGAAGGGCCCUAAGAGCAAGUCAUCGAAAUCUUCAUCAAGAGCUCCGAUUCCGGUCUCUUACUUCCCCGUUAACUCCUACAUCUCUCGCAUGUAGUGAUUAAUUAAUUUCACUGCAAGGUGGAGUUAGAAUUUGAAGAGUAUGAAUGGAUCAUUGAUUCAGUCUAGGUAUCAUAUGAUGGGGUUCUUCAUCAUGCAGUCGCUCAAGGAGUGAUGACGGAGUUGGUUUUCAUGUACAGUUUGAUGAUUGAUUUGCAAUAAGUUGAUCGAAGAAUACUGUAUUAGAUCUUCAUCUUGUUAAUUUCCUCCAACUGCAUGCAAUAAACAGUUCUUUUUAAUAGAAAGUUGGGUACGAUGAUACCAUGAAAUUACCUGCAACCAAAUAAGACAUCAGCCCCUACUAUGAAAAUUGAGAAACAACAAAAGAGUUCACUUGGGGUUUCCAUUGGAAAGAAUCGGUACUUGAAAUAUUGGCAAUCAGUGAUUACCAUAUGUAUAACUGCUAAGUAAACCCUAGAAUCAGUUAGGGUUUAUCAUCAUCGAAGACAAAGGUUGUUCGAAUCAUAUAUUAAGCAAAAACUACUUACAUUAUACAGAUGAUGAUCAGUAAGGGAAGAAGUCUUAAAAAAGCCAAAGGAAACUGAACCUACGAUUUUGGAGAAAUUAGGGUGUAAUUUGAUCCACAAGGUGAUGACUGAUGACUAGAUAUGCAUGGUGGGAUUUGCCCCAGCGGUCCAUGAUGAUAGAAGGCUAUUAUCCUUUUACACAAGCACUAAAAGAAAAAGGAUAAAUUAAGUCGCCUUGCUUUGUCCUUUCAUCCGCCCAAAAUUCUUGCAAUAUGCACCUCAAAUCAAACCUAAGAGUAUCAAUCACUCUCUUUCUCUCCAUCCAUUAAAAAGUAUUAAUUUCAAACUUGUGAUAUCUCACAUGUUGGAAGUAGAUUUGUAUAGGUUUUUUAAUUUUGUAGAUGUACUUUAAAGUUGUGAGUGUCUAUUAGACUCACAAGGAAUAAUAUCUAAAUGAGAAAUAGCAAGUCAUUACAAAUGAUAUUAAAGUUGAUCAUCGAUCUUAAUAUGAGAGUUUAUUUGACCCUGCAAGAGAUCUUUUUAUUUCUAUGAUCUUAUGAGAUACAACGAGAACGUUAUGCACUUAUAUGAGGGUGUAUUAUAUAUGUAAUGAUUCUUCUUCAUCUUAUAAAUAACUUUUAAAGUUGUGAGUGCGUAUGAGACCCAAAACGGAUCAGUACAAAUAUUUAUAUAAACUUAUAUUUAAAUCCAUUAAAAUAUUAUUUGUUAUAUUAAAAUAAAUUGUUGUUUUUUAAAUGAAUUGGAAAUAUUUUGAAGUGUUUGUUCAUAAAGAAUUUUGAUAAAUAAUUGAAGAUAUGAAGAUUAAUUGUAGGGGACUCGUGACACGUAUUCAACAUAUCAAAUAUAAUUACUGAAUAAACAGCCAAAAAAAUAAAUGUAAAAAAUAAAAAAAAUACCAGGGCACCAGCUGAGAGAUGUGGAAGGGUCUUUAUCGGCCAAGAAGAGGAUGAGAUUGGCCUUGUUCUUCGGCGCUUCUGAUCUGAACUUCUCCAGCACGCCGUCGAACGUCGACACAGUGGCGUCCACCAUUUUCAGCGGCGUAUUCGCUUUUUCUCAGGGGUAUUUUGGGAAAUCUAGACAAUAUCAUUGCUUGACAACAAUGGCAUUCGUCUGUGCUCCUUUUACAGGUUUUAAGCUAAAAUUUGCCCACCCACAGGUGGUGAAAUUCCUGAUAUGCCCUUCAUAUUGGAGUCACCAAAAUCUCCAUGACAUAGUAUAUCACAUUUAUGUCAAAUUUGGAGCCAAUGAUAUAUUUUGUGGUUUUAAAGUUCAUUAUAUACUUAGAAAGGCUUAGAAUACAAAUUUGAUAAGGUCAAACAAUGAUAUUUUUCUAAAAAUUUUUGUCCUACGAGGUGGGCACACAUACCUAGAAAAGCCUAAAUCCUUGACAUUAUGCAAUCUUACUUUACAAGAUGGUAGCAAAUAAUUAAUUAUUUUUCAAACACCGUAUCCCCUUAAAUAUUAUAGUUGGUUCAAUAAGUGGUAGAGUCAGGAUUUCAAUUAGGGGACUAACUCUUAAGACAUAUGUAAAUUUUGCUGAUCAUAAAAGAUGUGGGCUUUGACCCAAUAACCCAUCCUUGGCAUUUUCUAAGGGGGGGCAUAAGUUGGUUUGGGGUGGGAAGUGGAGAUGGCUGGUUUCACCCUUGGGUUCAGUCAUUGUAUUGAUUGAUCCAAUGAAGAAUAAUAUUUAGUAUUGACAUUUGCCUUCAUAAAUGAGCUUAAUAGUAUUAUCUUGGUGAGUGCAAUCCAAUAAUUAACUUGAUAUGUGUUUUUCAUAAAAUUUUAUGUAUCUUUUUAUAUUUGCCCUUUACUACCAAAUGUCAUUGUUCAUUUUGAAUUUUUUUCUUCUAUAAUGAAUAAAUACUUUUAAUUUAAUAUAAAAUUAUAAUUAAUCAUAUCAUUUUUUAGAACAUGUAGUAAUAGUAAAUAUGUGUUAACGUCUUUGAAUCCGGGACUCGCUUUCUAUGAUAAAAAGAAUAUACCAUUAACAUUAUGAAAUGAUUUUUGAAACUCCCACCAAUCAACAUUAAUUAGUUAGUCCUUUUUAGUUAGAGAGUUAAUUUUACUAAGACCCCUAGGGUGUAAAUACGUACACAUAACCAUUAUUAAUUUUAAAUUUUGUCACUAAGUGUCUUUGUAAAUUUAUUUUGUUUAUACAAUUUAUUUUUUAAAGAGAUUUUAAGGAAGUGUAAUUAAUAAUUUUUUGAAAAAUAAGUUUUAUUCUUAAAUUUUUUUUAUAUAUGAAAUACAUUUAUAGAAGUGCUAAUUGAUAGAAUUUGAAACUAAUGAUGGUUUAAUGUAUUUAUACUGAACCUUGGGAUGUGAAUGAAACUAGCCCUUAGCGAAAUAGGGUUGAGGAGUUAAACAUGCAUGGGUUGAUUGUAUUAAGGAUGAAAAGUACUAUUAAGUUCUUGGAGACCAAGCAAAACUUGGUUAAUACUCCUAGAAUCAUCAGGUGGUCGGACUAGAAGUCAAAAGUUUUGGAGGAAUUGAAAACGACUUCCUCAAACUACAGACACAAGUGUGGGAAACAGGAAGGAAUUAAUUAACCAUCUAAGCUGGGGAGAUGGGGACACAACAUUUGAAUUUCCUUGCUAUACAAGAAAAUUAGUCCAACUUCACAGUAUAACACAUCAUCAUCUUCAUUCAAAUGUCAUCACUACUCACACUUCAGCUAGCUAGCUCUUGGCUUCUCAAACACUCACUUCCCUUAACUUCUGAAUAGAAAAAUUAAGGAGAAUUAAGGGUGAUUCAACAAUGGUGCUCUCAGCCAUUCUAAGUUGUUGUCUGCCAUCAUCAUCGUCGACUCUGCCUCGGGUGUCCGAUGAUGGUGGUGGGUCAAGAUGUGACAUUAGGCAAUCUUACCUUGCAAGAUUGUGGUUAGAUUGUAGAAUAAGCUAGCUAAUUUACUAUUUAUCAAACACUUUUUUCCCUAUAAAUUGAACUUUUUAAGUUAACUUAAGCCCCAUCUAAAGUUAUUAUAGCUACUAAUUAGCAAUCACAUCUCCCUUUCUAAUGGGAUUCUUAUCAACCAUUUUCAGGUGUUUGAUGUCUUGUUUUUCAAGCAAUGAAGCAAGAAAAUCUCCAGAGAAGCCUAAGAGAAAAUCAAAGUCAUCUAGGGCUCCCAUUGUGGUCUCUUCCUUCCCUGUCAACUCAAAUCUUUCUUGCUUAUAGCAUGCUGAAAUUUGAAAUGUAGUUGGUUCAAUCAUGGUAUGGACUGAUCUAUAAUUAAUGGCAAUGAAGCCAUGGUAUUGAUAGUUGCCUUUGCAAAUGAGCUUAAUGUUCUUAUAUAUCUUGGUGAGUAUAAUUCUAACUAUUUGAUCUGUCUUUUGAAUAUGAUUUAUGGUAUUUUACCCUACUGCAUGCCUUUGCUUUGGUUACCUCCUUGUGUGAACUGCCCAAUGGUCAUAAAGAUUAAUGAGUUUAAGCCUUGUUACGUUUACCCAUGCACAAAUUUGUAAUGUCAUUCACUUUGAAUUAAUUUCUUGGUGUAGACGUAUGAAACAAAAACUCUUUAUAUGAUACAAAAUUAUAGCUCUUAUCAUUUUUAAGACACGAUGAUGGAGGACGACAUCAUUCACUGCUUGAAGACCAAGCAAAACUUGGGGAAUACUCCUAGAAUUAUCAGGCGCCACACAAGUCAAAAAGUUAUGAAGGAAUAUUGAAAAUGGCUUCCUCAAUCUAGAGUCAAAGCAGCCACUAGUGUAGGAAACAGGAAGGAAUUUACCAUCUAAACAAUAUCACAAGCUGGGAAGAUGGGCACAUACCAUCUGGCUUUCCUUGCUAUGCAAGAAAAUGAGCCCAACUUCCAUUUCAAAUUAAACUUCCACUAUAAAUAUGUAGAAUCGUCUUCAUUCAAAGCUCAUUAAUACAAACUCACACUUCAGCUCUUGGCCUCUCAAACCACUUUGUUUAAUUUCUGAAAGCAGAAGGAGAAGGGUGAUUGAUCAACAAUGGUGUUCUCAGCCAUCAUAAGUUGUUUUCUGCCAUCAUCAUCGUCAUCUCGGGUGUCUGAUGAUGCUGGUGGGUCAGGCUCAAAGGUGCCUUCCAUGGGGAAAGACAAGAUGAGCAAAUCAAAUUCUUCAGGAGCUCCAAUAGUUCUUUCUUACUUUCCAUUGAACUCCUAUCUCUCUCGCUUGUAGUUGUACUACUAAUUGCAUUCUGAGGAAAGGGGAGUUGAAUUUGCAGAAGGUAUCAAUGGUUAAUUUCUUCAGCUCAAUGAUGUUAUGUGGAUCAGUUAAUUAAUGGGGCUUCUUGAUCAGUCAGUUCAGAGACCACACACCAUGGGGCAGUUGCUUAUGGGGUGGUGAUGUUGAAGGAAGAACAGCACUCAUGUACAUAUAGUUUGAUGAUUGAUUUGUAGUUUGAUUGAAGCAUAUCAUGUAAGAUCAUGGGUCCUUUAUUUUUAUUAGUAAUAUCCUGAUGAAUAAAAUUCAAGUGUAAUCCAAUUGUUUGAUUUGUGUUUUGGUAAGAGUUCUUAUUUCAUGUUAAUCCAUAUCCAAAUUCUUGUGCUUAACUUAAUAUAUUCAACAUAUUUUCAAUUAUAUCUUCGAAUUCAAUAAAAAAGACGAAGAAGAAGAGGAAAAUCCCUCAAAUUUGAAAUAAAAUACAACUUUAUUUUCAAAAUAAAUUCUCAAAACUAUUUUUAGUCCAAAAUUUAUUCUACCUAUGCUUUAAUUUGAAUUUUUUUUUUAAUUUUUCAAAAAUAGAAAAUCAUUUUAAAAAUUAAUUAUAACUUACCAUAAAGAACUGAUCUUCAAAUUUGAUCUAAUAUCAUGAUCCCUUUUUUGGUAUGAUCUCAAGUAUCUUGUUCUUAUCAUAUAUAAAAAAAAUGUUCUUAAAUUAAUACAAAAUGAUGAUAUGUCAUGUCACUUGAGAUACUUUCGAAAUGAUAGAAUAGAUAGAUUAGAAUUAGAAACCAGGAUCAUAGAAAUAAAAAAUUUAUUAUUAUGAAAAUCAAAGUCAACUUUUACAAGAAUCUUAUCCUUUUCUUACACAAUAUAUUAUGAUAGAUCUUCAAUAUUUUCACUUUUAUUCUUGCAUUCCAAACACUUCUAGAGAAUUUGCAUUCCAAAAUCAAAGCCAACAUUAGAGAACUUGUCACCUAGAAAGUUAGGUCUUUUUUAAUUCUCACAUUGAAGAAGCAUGGACCAUGUUUUUGUAUUUUAAUUAAAAUUGUUUCCAAUAAUUUUAUAUAGAUAUUAUCAGUCAUUCUGCUAGCUGGUCAUUGCAACCUCACAGCACAUGCCCACAUACUAAUAAAUAUCAGAAACUUCUUCCUAGCUAGGUAAUGUGGGGCAUGGCAAAUAAUUGAUAAAAAAUGAGAAGUCUUCAAUUCUUGGUGACCAAGAAAAACUUAGGUUAAAGCAACCACAGGAGUAGGAAGCAGAAGGCAACCAUCUGAUCAACAGUACUAUAAGUUGAGAACAUAGGCACACGUAUCAUUUGGUUUUUCUUGCUAUACAAGAAAAUCAUCCCAAUCCCAUUAUAAAUACAGAAUUAUCUUCACUCAAAUCUCAUCAUCAACCUUCUAUUUCAUAAUUUUUCAGACAUAGGAAGAGCAAAAACGAAAGAAGAAAAAAGACACGUAAAUCAUAACGGUAUUCUUUAUUAAUCUCAUCUUACACAUACAAACAUAUAUAUAUAAAGAAAAAUAAAAUUUUAACGUAAUUGAUAAUUGAUAUGAUUCCUAUGCUCACGGAAUACAUCAACACUCAAGAAUCUACUUCAUUUGACACGUAUAAGCAUAAAUAAAAAAAAACAAAAUUUUAAUAUAAUUGAUAAUUAAUAUGAUUCCUAUGUCCAUGGAAUGUUCCGAUACUUUAAGUUUGAAAUAUUAGGCAGGUACCAUAGUGUGGGGUUAUCCUAUUGUAUUUGCAUGCACCUCAAGACCCAAUACCUUGUGGCAUGACUUAGGUUAGAUAGUACAUUAUUUGGGAUAUCCAUGGUACAACCUAAUUACUUUGAUUUGUAGGAAUCUACAUAUAAUCUCAAUUGAUUUCAAACAAUUAAUUUGAUUUAGAAAAUUGAUGAGUUUAAUUACCAGGCACAUAAACUAUUUCUUCCACAAACAUAAUUGUGUCAUACAUCUUAUGGAUAAAUUACACUAGUGACUAUAAGACCAUGAUUAAAAUUUUUAUCCAAACAAUUAUAAAAAUUAUGGUUGAUAUUUAAACAAUUUUUUUUAUUAAUAAAAAAACUAUCCUAAAUGAGAUUUAAAGAAGGUAACAUCACUGAUUUGAUUGCCUCCGCUAUUGCAUUGUUACCUUACUUUUGUACUCAUCUAAGUCAAUUGCCCAACCAAAAUAAUGAUUUACUAUUCUUAAUGACCACACGACAUUCAUUAGUAGAUAAUGCGUCACACCUUCUUUGAAGAUGGGCAGGCUAAGGAAUAUUCUUAAACCAUAAGUAAUUUAAUUAUAGAAUAUUCAUUUAUAGAAACUCAGUCACACCAGUUAGCUAGGCAACAAAUCAUACAUUCUCAUUUGACUAUAAAUGAAAGUUAUAAUAGCUUCUAAACAUAUAUAUAUAUAUAUAUAUAUAUAUAUAUAUAUAUAUAUAUAUAUAUAUAUAUAUAUAAACAUAGUAAAGAUAUAGUUAUAAGUGAUGUUUGUUUUUUGGUUAAAUAGAAAAAGCCAAAUAUUUUGGUUUUUUCUAUUCAGUUAAAAGUAACUAAUUGACAUCAACCAACAUCAUUAAACUAAACUUAUUGAGAAUAAGUUCACUUUAAUUAUGUUGGUUAGUACCAAUAAGAUACUUUUAGCUGAAUAGAAAAAAUCAAAAUAUUUAGCUUUUUCUAUUCAGCCAAAAAAUAAAUACCAUUAUAGUGUUUUAAAUUCUUUAGUAGAUAACGAGGUAGGAUUAAAAAUAAUUAUUUUUCCCAUUCAAUUGAUUUGUGUUUGACAACUUUUUCUAAAUAUUUUUUUAUAUUAAAAAUAAGUGUAAUUUUGGUUUUUGUUUUUAUAAAAUUUAAUUUAAGAAAUAUUUACUUUUGACAUCAUGUUAUUUUCAAAUGUAAAUUCGAUCUGGGGUUUGUCAGCUUUAUUCAAUAUGGUUAAAAAUUACAUCUAAUUUUUGUAUAUUUUUCAAAUUGAGACUUUUAGUUCAUAUGAUAGUGAUUUUAGAAAAUCCUUAUAUUUUUUUUAAUAUUUAAUAUUUUUUAUCUUUUAAAUGUUAAAAAACUAAAAACACUUUCUAUAAUAUUAUCAAACACACUCAUAUCCAAUAUGUUUUUUUUUUCCACAUAUUUGAUCCACACUUCCAAUAAUUAUGGUCAAAGACACUCAUCGCUGAUAUGGUUUUUUAUGUACUUAUUUCAUCCUUUGUGUAUAUUUUUCGAAGUAUUAAAAAUACUUUCUAUAAUCACCGUUAAAUACACAUAUCCUAUAUGUUUUUUUUUUUAAAUAUUUGGUCACACUUCCUAUGACCACGGUUUAAGAGCCUCGUAUCCUAUAUGUUUUUUUUUACAAAUUUGGUCCCACCCUGUCUGUAUGUUCCCCGAAGCUUCCCACUUUCUCUAAAAAGAUUUAUUCUUAAACUCAAGGGGAACCAUGUCAUAUAUGAUUUGGCUUUCCUUGCUCUGCAAGUAAAUCAAAUCCACCUCCAUUUCUUAUUUCAAAUCUGCACUAUAAAUAGGGAAGCAUCGAACCCUAAUGUUUCAUCAAGUAUCUCACACUUCCUCUCAUUUCUAGUUUUCUCUCAGGAGAAAGAAGGGUGAAAAAUGGUGGUCUCAGCCAUACUAGAUUGCGUUGUUCCAUCAUCUUCCUCAUCCCAGGUCGUCGACUAUGCUGGUGGCUGGCCUUCCAUGGAGAAACCUAAGAGCAAGUCAUCAAAAUCUUCAAGGCUCCAAUCCUGGUCUUUCACUUCCCUGUUAACUCCUACCACUCUCGCCUGUAGUGGUUGAGUUAAUUGCUUGAGGAGUGAGAUGGAGUUUUGUUUUCAUUUACAGUUUGAUGAGUGAUUUGCAAUAACUUCAUACAAGAAUAUUGUAUGCAAUGAAAGAGCUAUUUUUGAUUGAAUGUUGGGUAUGUUUGAUGCCAUGAAAUUAAUUACCAGCAACCAAACAAGACAUGGAACCCUAGUUUGAAAAUUCAGAAACUAACAACAAAAGUUCAGUUGGGUAAUGAAUAGCAGUCAGUGAUGGCAUAUGGGUAAUAGUUAAUUAGAGUCACUAUUAAUUCAGGGUUUAGAGUUUAAAGUUUAUACUUAGUUGUUGGACACACAUAAAGAUCUAUAAAGAAUUCUUAAAAAAUCAUUUAAAAAUAAAUAAAACAAUAAGUUAUUUUAAUAUAAGAAAAAUUUUAAAAUGAUUAAUUUUUUUUAUAAUCAUUUUAAAAUUUAAAUAUUUUUAAUUUAUUUUUAAGCUUUUAAAAUGAGAAAAUAUCAAUUCUCGGAAAUUUUAAAACACUACAAAUAAUGUAAAUUGUUGGUGAUCGGAGAGCAAACUCCAACAUUAAAGACCUUUUCUCACUGAAGAUACUCUCUUUCCACACAAUGGUUGUUUUUUUUAACAGACUUGCCUAUUAAAAAAGGGUCAAACACCAUGUUGACAAAGGGGAGACUAAUGAUCUAAAAACUAAAAACAUUUUGUGCUGAAAAGCCCAGGAGAGGACUAAGCCAAAAAUUAAAUAUUUGGAAAGGGGAAAAUUUUAGGGGAUAUGUUGGAUAUCAAAUUUGUAAUCUUGGUAGUCAUUUGAAAUAUAUAAUGAAAUAUAAGUUGUUUGAUAUUUAUAGUUAUUUUCAUGAAUAAUGAUGGUCAUGAGGUCUUUUUGCGACGUCUAGGAAGCAAGCACGUGGAGUUAAAUAAGCAAAGUUGCAUGAGGCUUGGGGGUGCAAGCCUAUUUCGAUCAAUCCAAAGUUUGAGGCUGAUCGAGGGAAUUAGAGAUAUUCAAAUGAGUUCAAAUAUAUACAUAUUUUUAAAUUAUGUACUCAUUGAGGAUUAAUUUCAUACAUUUUCAAAAGAUUUGGAUGCCGUUUUCCUAGUUGAAAAUUUUGAAAUUUUUUUAAUGGAAAAUAAGAAAAAUGUUGAAAGAGCUUAUGUAACAUUUUUCCAAAAUACUACACUAGGAGGACACCACCUUAUAACUUGAUGUCAUUUUCCCAUUCCCUGGUGUCAUUUUGUGCUGAAGAUGAGCUAUGUACACCCCAAAAAAUGGCAAGGUCACUUUAUGCUCUACUACCAUUCCUCACUCCCUGCCACCAUUUCAUGCUAAAACUCCAAGACAAUAUGAGCCCACCAUUUUUGGACCUUUCGAGUUCACCAUUGGAUCUCUUAUAUUGUUUUUGAUACGUUAACGAGGUACUUAUGACACAUGGGAACACCUAUAUAAAGCCAUUUUGCAGUUAAUGAAGGGGGCGCCUUUGAGGAGAGCCUUUGGGCUACUAGCUUGGGGAGGAGACCAGCUUGUUCCAGCUUGCAUGCUUUAUUUGCUCGACGCUUUGCUCAUUUUAGUAAUUUGGUAAAGUUUUGAACUCACUGCUCUUGAUUAUACUUGAUUGUAACUACCAUUAAUAUUUGGUUUUGAAGUUGAAUUUGAAUGAUUGUAAUAGGUACUUUCUUAUGCUCUGAUUUUGUUCUUCACUUUGGUUAUAUUUUUGUGGCUUUUGAGUAGUAGUUUAGGUUGAGGAGAAGGGGGUUCUUAGGACCUCCAUUGUGUUUAUGAAAUGGACUCUUAAAUUCUAAGUGUUUGAUGAUACAGUCAGCAUGUGAGCUUUGUUUUUAAUUAGAAUAUCAAUAUUCCUUAAUAUUUGAAAAUUGAAGUUUGGGGGACCCUUAAGGGUAUCUUAAGUACUUAAUGGUUGAAAGUCAUUUUGACUUGAAAUGACUGUUAUUGAACCUCUAAUUAUUUGAUAACAAAUGGUAGUGGAAGCUUCAAUGUGAUAUCAUAUGGAGUUUCAAUUCACAAGUAUGAGACAUUGGGUUUGAUUAAAAUGUGCUUGUGUUGCAAAUCCUCUAACUAAGAAUACCUAUUGGUGACCUUAAUUGUGUCAAUUUCAUUAAGGGCUAUUUCAUGAAAACAAAGGAGUUCCAAGAGAUCUCCUAAUCCUUGACACUUUUUUAGCCUCCUGUUAAUAAUCUUUCCAAUUCCAUUGCACACCUAACAUCUUUUUCCUUUGGUUUGACUCUCUGACUCAUGGAGAUAUUAAAAUGGCAAUGUACUCCUUAUUGUUACAUACGCAUUACGAAGGAUGAAAAGUAUCCAAUUCUUGAAGACCAGGCAAAACUUGGUGAAUACUCCUAGAAGUAUCAGGUGGGUAACAUUAGAAGUCAAAAAGUUGUGAGAAACGGAAUUGAAAAUGACUUCCUCAAACUACGGUCAAAGCAGCCACAGGUACGUAGGAAACAGGAAGGAAUUUACCAUCUAAACAAAAUCACAAGCUGGGAAGAGGGGCAUGUACCAUCUGGCUUUCCUUGCUAUGCAAGCAAAUUAGCCCAACUUCCAUUAACUCCACUAUAAAUAAAGAACCAUCUUCAUUCAAAUCUCAUCACUACUUACACUUCAGGUAGCUCUUGGCCUCUCAAACCACUCACUUUCCUUGACUUCUGAUCAAAAGAAAAUAGGGAGAAUCAAGGGUGAUUCAACAAUGGUGUUCUCAGGCAUUUUAAGUUGUUUUCUGCUAUCAUCAUCAUCUUCAUCGCCUCGGGCGUCCGAUGAUGCUGGUGUGUUAAGCCCAAAGAAGCCUUCCACGGUGAAAGACAAGAGCAAAUCAAAAUCUUCGGGAGCUCCAAUUGUGGUGUCUUACUUCCCAGUGAACUCCAAUCUCUCUCGCUUGUAGUAGUACUAACUGAAUUGUAAGGAAAGAGGAGUUGAAUUCAAGAAGGGUACCAAUGGUGUUUAUUAAGUUCAAUGGUGUUAUGUGGAUCAGUUAAUGGGGUUUCUUGAUCAGCCAGUUGAGAAACCAGACCCUGGCGCAGUUGGUCAGGGAAGAAUAACACUGAAAAUAGUAAUAUCAGUUGUAUAUAUAGUUUGAUGAUUGGUUUUUAAUUUGAUUAAAGCAUGCAUAUGGUAUAAGAUCAUGGUUUCUUGAUUUGUUUUUUCUUAAGAUUUCUCCUAUAUCUUGUUCUCAGAUCCCUUUACCUUGUUUACCUCCUUUUCUGAAGUUCAGAUUUUCUUCAUCCAACACACUGAUAAGUGGCUCUGAGCCUGCCUAAUGACCUUGAAGAUCAAUGGGUUCUUCAUUUACUUUUCUUUUCGUCUAUGAGCAAUGAACUAGAGAUCAGUGAAUGAAAGAAAAAAAGGAAAUCUCAUAGAAAGUAUGCAACAUUGCUGAAGAAAAGAAGAUGAAGCUGUGAAUAUAUACGUAUAUUGAUCAGUUGAUGACAAUUCGAUCUAUUGAAGAUUUAAUUUAAACCUUACCAGAGCGAUCAAUUGAACUGCUAUUAACUAUUUGCUUGAGAAAAAACAAGGGCAUGUUUCCCAAUGUGGAUCCUAUCAGUUAGGUUACCUGGCCAUUUCAUGCUAAUAAAUAUCAGUAACAAAAUGUGAGGCAUUACAGAGAAUUGCUAAAGAUUAGUGAAAAGUCUUCAAUUCUUGGUGAGUAAGAAAAACUUAGAUUAAUGUUGCUAGAAGUAUUGGAGGUCAUAGAAGUAAGUCAAAGUUCUCAAGGAACUCAUGAGGAUGAAUUCCUCCGAGUAGGGUCAAAGCAGCCACAAGGGUAGGAAGCAGGAGGCCAGGAACCAUCCGAGCAAUACUAUAAUUUUCUCGGACUUGGGCAUAUAUCAUUUGGCUUUUCUUGUUAUGUAUACAAGAAAAUUAACCACCCCAAUCCCACUAUAAACACAGAAUCAUCUUCACUCAAAUUUCAUCAUCAACCUUCUGGAUCAUAAUUUUCUCGGACAAGGAAGAGCAGAAGCCAAGCCAAUUACAAUGGUGUUUUCAACCAUCUUGAGUUGUUUCUCGCUUAGUGAACUGGUGAAAUCUAACAGCAAAUCAUCAAAACCUUCACAAGCUCCAAUACUGGUUUCUUACUUCCCUGUCAGCCUUCAUCUCUAGCUUGUAGUACUUUAAUUACGAAGGAGAGAUCAUCUGCUGAAUCAUAAUGGCAGAAACGGUUUAUUCAUCUGGUAUAUUGAUCAACUCAUGGGGUUUUUUGAUGUAUAAAUUCAUUAAUUCACGAUUGAUUUGUAAAUUAAUUUGAUUGAAGCACACAUAUUAUAUAAGAUUAUUGUUUCUUGAUGAUAAUUAAGCUAAUCAUCAUAUAUACCUUUCCUUACUAUAGAAAAACCAGAUAUUAGGGCUUGUUUGGAAACAAUUCUGAAAAAUAUUUUUUGAGAACAAGUUUUAAAAAUUGUUUUAGGAUAUUUUGUAGAAAAAAAUUUAUUUUAAAACUUGAAAUGUUUUUAAUAUUUUUAAAAUAAAUUUUAUAAUUAUUUUUUAAAAUAGCUUUAAAAAAUAUAAGUGAAAACAACUAAAAAAUGUUUUAUGGAAAUAUUAUGUUUUCUAAUUGUCAAACGUGUUUUCUAGUUUUUUGUUUCUGAAAAACGAAAAUUGUUCUCCAAAACAAUUGCUAAACAAGCUUUAGGUGGUAUUUGUUUUUUUACUUAAUUCUAAAUAGAAUAUUAAUACUUAUUAGUAUUAAAUAUUAGGUUGUUUGUUUUUAUAGUAUUUUAUUUCUAUUAAGUAUUAAAAAAUAAAAAAACACCAUUGUGUUAUUUUUUCUAUUUAGAAAAAGCCACAUAUUUUGACUUUUUCUAUUUAGUAAAAAGUUUAUAAUAAGUCAUGAAAAAGUAAAAAAACAAACAACCUAAAUUUUAAAACUAAAUGAUUUUAAGCAAAAAAUCAAAAAAACAAACACCGCCUUAGUCUACUUCAAUCCUCAUUUGUAAUUAUCUUGAUUAAUAAUAUUGUGGUACCUUUGGCUAUUACCAGUUGGGACGCUUGACCCAAUAUUUGAUAGUAGAGUUCUAAUUAAUAUAUAAUUAAAAUUUUCUAAUUAUGUUUAAUUUAAUGAUGGGAUAUUAUUGAACAACAUCAUAAAAAAAUUUAAUAUUAACUAGAUUUAUCAAUUAAAAUAUUAAUAGCAUUAUCAUUUUUAUAUAUUAUUCUUCUAUGUCAUAUACCUUGAUGCCGUGAUGAAUACUUCUAUUAUUACGGAACUUGAUAAAGUCGAAAAAUAUUGUUAUAUACCGAGAGUGACUUUCUUCCUCCAUGGUCAAAGCUGGCACAUGCCAUAGAAAGUGGAAGCUCAAGAGCAACAUGGGUACUUAUAUCAUUUGACUAAGAUAAAAUUAAUUGAGAUAAAUAUUAAUAAAAUUAAAAAAGCAGGUAAAUAUGUCAAUUUGAUAAUUAAAAAAUAAAUUAAUUUUAUCGAAUAAUAAAAAUCAAAUAAUAAAUUUUAAGUUUAUAAUUUAAGAAUAAUUUAAUUUAAAAUUAAUUAAAUUAUUAAAUAUAAGUAUUAAAUUUGACCAAAAUAUCAUUUUCACCUCGCCUUGAUGAAGCCAUUAAGUAUUUAACAUUAGCCAUUGAUUUCUUUUUGGAUCAUUUUGAAACCCAAUGAUGUUGGAGGGAUGUUGAUGAUUUAUUGUUUGGUAUAUUUUAAGGUUUAAAGGAUAAAUAGUAGUACUGAAUACUUCCUACUAUCCUGACCAGUUCUUAAAGUCCAAAUGAAUUGAAAAUCUUGUGACACUGAAAGUGACUUUCUUCCGAAAUGGUCAGAGCAGCCACAACUGAUGGAAAUUCAAAGGAUCCAACUCACAAUUUUCACAAGAAACAUGGUCAGUUGGACUUCAAAUUGCUUUAUAUUCAAGAUAUUAAGAGCUCGAUAGGUUUGCAUCGCAGAAACAAACAAGUGAUUUUAGCACCGAGUAAUACUUGACUUCAUUAGAAGAGUAGGCAUGCAACGGUCCAUUGCUUUUUAGAGCAUCAAUACAUUGUCGGAUUGCCCUCACGUAGGAUGUCUUAUUUUUCCAAAAUAUAAAUAAAUCCCAUUAAUUAGGAAGAAAGCUUGAGAAUCACGUCUAAAGGAGACUUAGUUAAUAUAUAUGUUUUUCUUCAUUGGUUUGGUCCCACCCUCUAUUUGUUUGUUCCCUGAAGCUGGUUAGACUAGUCAAAAUUUGAAAGGUGGUGUAAUUUGACAUGACUGUACUUCAAAGACAUGGACGCCACCGCACCAAAGUUUAGUUGUUGGGUCUUUUUGUAUAGUCGGAUUAAUCCACUUGCUGCCACGAUUCUCACAGGAAGGUCCAGGGAAUUGACCAUCUCAUAUAUUUAUCAUUUAUCUUUCCUUGCUAUGCAAGUAAAUCAACCCUACUUCCAUUUCAAAUCUGCUGUAUAAAUAGAGAAGCAUCUUAGCCUAAUAUUUCAUCAAAUAUCAGACACUUUCUCUGCAGGCAAAUUAAGAAGGGUUAAAAAUGGUGUUCUCAGCCAUAUUAAGUUGUUUUGUUCCAUCUUCUUCCUCGACCCGAGUCUUCAAUGAUGCUGGUGGGUCUAGUGUGAAGGAACCUAAGAGCAAGUCAUCGAAAUCUUCAUCAAGAGCUCCGAUCCCGGUCUCUUACUUCCCUGUUAACUCCUACCUCUCUCGCUUGUAGUGAUUAAUUUCAUGGCAAGGUGGAGUUAGAAUUUGAAGAAUAUCAAUCGAUUAUUCAUUCAGUCUAGGUAUGAUAUGAUGGGGUUCCUCAUCAUGCAGUUGCUUGAGGAGUGAUGAUGGAGUUUGUUUUAAUGUACAGUUUGAUGAUUAAUUUGCAAUAAUUAAUUUCAAGAAUAUUGUUGAUUUCCUCCAAUUGCAUGCAAUGAAACAGCUCUUUUUAAUGUAAGUCGGGUGCGAUGAUACCAUGAAAUUACCUGCAACCAAAUAAGACAUUAACCCCAACUGAAUUUUCUUGUUGUUUCUGAAUUUGAUCAGUAAAGGAGGAAGUCUUAAAAAAGCCUAUGGAAAAUGACCCCACCAUUUUGGAGAAACACUAGGUGAAAUUUGAUCCACAGAAUGAAGAUCAGGUAUUCAUGGUGGGAUUUGCCUUAUGGUCCAUGACGAUAAAAGCUUAUUAUUCUUCUAUGCAUGCACCAAAGAAAAAGGGAAAAUUAAGCCGCCUUACUUUGCCUUUUUAUUCUCCUAAAAAGUCUGCAAUAUGCGCCUCAAAUCCAACCUAAGUGUCUCUGACACCCUCUUUCUGUCCAUCCAUUAAAAGGUACUAACUUUAAAAUUGUGAUAUCUCACAUAUUAUAGAAAAAAAGUUUGAUUUUAAUCUUGUAUAUAUAUUUUAAAGUUGUGAGUAUCUCUCGAACUUUAAUGAACAAUAUCUACGCAAGAGAUGACAAAUUAUUAUAAAUUAUAUUAGAGUUAAUUUCCUAUCCAAUGAAAGUUUAUUUGACCUUGUAAAUGAUUUUUAUCUUUUUGUUAUCACAAUUCUAUGCAUUAUAAUGAGGACGUUGCGUCCAUUUGAAGGUACGCUAUAUAUGUAUUGAUUCUUCUUCAUUUUAUAAGCAUUUUUUAAAGUCAUGAGUGUUUAUGAGGCACAAAAUGGAUCACUACAAAUAAUAAAAUAUUAAAGAAAAGACAAAAAGGGAACUUCGAACAACUUAUGAAGAUCAACAAUAUAUACUAGACCGUUAACAUUAUCUAUUUAUCUUUGAAUCGAGCAAGCAACAGUGAUUGACAUGCUUGUUGGUGGGACCUAAUUCAACAAUGAAUUGUUUUUUUUGAUAGGAAACAAUGAAUUGUAUUACCACAUAUUUUAAUACUUAAAGUUUCUAUAAUUAAUUAGUCUUUGAAAAUGAUACAUAUUUAUUGUAGAGGCUACAACAAAAGCCUCUGCAAUUAUUUUUAAGAGAAAUUAUUUAAGGGAUUUUUUGUAAUAAGAACAUGAAAUAAUAAUUUAUUUUAUUUUUCAAAAAAGCGUCUAUUUCAUAAAUUAAUUUUAGUGAUUUUCUAGAUUUUUAAAAAUUUACUGAGCACAAUAUUAAAAACUUUUGUAUUCUAGGGAAGUCAUGAGACUUGGUCAAGAUAUGGAAUAUGGGAUGACGUUAAGCCUGAGAAAGAAAAUAUAAUUUCCCGGAAAGUAAAAGUAGGAUGUCUAAGGAAGAAAGCAUGAGAAUCACAUUGGAUGAUUAGUUUUAUUUAAUCUUAUUCCAAAGGAGACUUUAGCUAAUAUGUUUUAAUUUUCUUCAUUGUUUUGGUCCCACCCUCUAUUUGUUUGUUGCCUAGAGCUUCCCAUUUUUGCUGAAAGGUUUUCUUCUUCUGUGUCAGACUAAUCAAAAUUUCAAAGGUGGUGUAAUUUGACACGACUUUCUUCAAAGAUUCGGGCCCUAGUGUACAAAAGCUUAGUUGUCGGGUCUUUUUCUAUAGUCAAAUGACUCAGAUCAAGGUAGCAGCAGCUGCCACGAUUGUCACAGGAAGCUCAAGGGAAUCAACCAUCUGAGAUAUUUAUAGUUUAGCUUUCCUUGAUAUGCAAGUAAACCAACCCUACUUCCAUUUCAGAUCUGCAUUAUAAAUAGAGAAGCAUAUGUUAGCCUAAUAUUUCAUCAAAUAUCACACACUUUCUCUCUUUUCUAGUUUUCUGAUCAGGCAAAUUAAGAAGGGUUAAAAAUGGUGUUCUCAGCCAUACUAAGUUGCUUUGUUCCAUCAUCUUCCUCGUCCCGAGUCUACAAUGAUGCUGGUGGGUCUAGUGUGAAGGGACCUAAGAGCAAGUCAUCGAAAUCUUCAUCAAGAGCUCCGAUUCCGGUCUCUUACUUCCCUGUUAACUCCUACCUCUCUCGCAUGUAGUGAUUAAUUUCAUUGCAAGGUGGAGUUAGAAUUUGAAGAGUAUGAAUGGAUCAUUGAUUCAGUCUAGGUAUCAUAUGAUGGGGUUCUUCAUCAUGCAGUCGCUCAAGGAGUGAUGACGGAGUUGGUUUUCAUGUACAGUUUGAUUGAAGAAUAUUGUAUUAGAUCUUCAUCUUGUUAAUUUCCUCCAACUGCAUGCAAUAAACAGUUCUUUUUAAUAGAAAGUUGGGUACGAUGAUACCAUGAAAUUACCUGCAACCAAAUAAGACAUCAGCCCCUACUAUGAAAAUUAAGAAACACACAAAAAAGUUCAGUUGGGGUUUCCAUUGGAAAGAAUCGGUACUUGAAAUAUUGGCAAUCAGUGAUUACCAUAUGUAUAACUGCUAAGUAAACCCUAGAAUCAGUUAGGGUUUACCAUCAUCGAAGACAAAGGUUGUUCGUAUCAUAUAUUAAGCAAAAACUACUUACAUCAUACAGAAGAUAAUCAGUAAGGGAAGAAGUCUUAAAAAAAGAAAAGGAAACUGAACCUACGAUUUUGGAGAAAUUAGGGUGUAAUUUGAUCCACAAGGUGAUGACUGAUGAGUAGAUAUGCAUGGUGGGAUUUGCCCCAGCGGUCCAUGAUGAUAGAAGGCUAUUAUCCUUUUACACAAGCACUAAAAGAAAAAGGAAAAAUUAAGCCGCCAUGCUUUGUCUUUUCAUCCGCCCAAAAGUCUUGCAAUAUGCACCUCAAAUCAAACCUAAGAGUAUCAAUCACUCUCUUUCUCUCCAUCCAUUAAAAAGUAUUAAUUUCAAACUUGUGAUAUCUCACAUUGUAGGAAAUAAUAGCCUAAUAUUAUAUAUGUAUAGGUUUUUUAAUUUUGUACAUGUACUUUAAAGUUGUGAAUAUUGUUGAACUUAAAAUGGAUAAUAUCUACAUGAAAAAGAGUAAGUCAUUACAAAUGAUAUUAAAAUUGAUCAUCAAUCUUAAUGUGAGAGUUUAUUUGACCCUGCAAUGAAUCUUUUUAUUUCUAUGAUCCUAUGAGAUACCACAAAGAUAUUGUGUACUCAUAUGAGGGUGCGUUAUAUAUGUAUUGAUUCUUCUUCUUCUUAUAAAUAAAUUUUAAAGUUGUGAGUGCCUAUGAGACCCAAAGCGGAUUAGUACAAAUAUUUAUAUAGACUUACAUUUAAAUCUAAUAAAAUAUUAUUUGUUAUAUUAAAAUAAAUUGUUGUUUUUUUAAAUGAAUUGGAAAUAUUUUGAAGUGUUUGUUUAUAAAGAAUUUUAAUAAAUAAUUGAAGAUAUGAAGAUUGAUUGUAGGGGACUCCUGACAUGUGUUCAACAUUUCAAAUAUUGGCGAGUACCUAAGAUAUUUAUUUGAUAUUAUUCCAAAGGAGACUUUAGCUAAUAUGCUUUAAUUUUCUUAAUAGUUUUGGUCCCACCCUCUAUUUGUUUGUUCCCUAGAGCUUCAUAUAUAUAUAUUAGACUAGUCAAAAUUUGAAAGGUAAUAUAAUUUGACAUGAUUUGUCUUCAGACUUGGACGCUACAUUCCCCCUGUACAAAAGUUUGACUGUUAAUUCGGUUUUUUUCUAUAGUCAGAUUAAGCUGGCAGCAGCCGGCACGAUUGUCACAGGAAGCGCAAGGGAAUUUACCAUCUCAUAGAUUAAUCAAUUAGCUUUCCUUGCUAUGCAAGUAAAUCAACCCUACUUCCAUUUCAUAUCUGCAUUAUAAAUAGAGAAGCAUAUGUUAGUCUAAUAUUUCAUCAAAUGUCACACACUUCCUCUCAUUUCUAGUUUUCUCAGGAAAAUUAAGACGGGUUAAAAAUGGUCUUCUCAGCCAUAUUAAGUUGCUUUGUGCCAUCAUCUUCCUCGUCCCGAGUCUUCAAUGAUGCUGGUGGGUCUAGUGUGAAGGAACCUAAGAGCAAGUCAUCGAAAUCUUCAUCAAGAGCUCCGAUCCCGGUCUCUUACUUCCCUGUUAACUCAUACCUCUCUCGCUUGUAGUGAUUAAUUUCAUGGCAAGGUGGAGUUAGAAUUUGAAGAAUAUCAAUCGAUUAUUCAUUCAGUCUAGGUAUCAUAUGAUGGGGUUCUUCAUCAUGCAGUUGCUUGAGGAGCGAUGAUGGAGUUUGUUUUAAUGUACAGUUUGAUGAUUAAUUUGCAAUAAUUUGAUUGAAGAAUAUUGUAUUAGCUAGAUCUUCAUCUUGUUAAUUUCCUCCAACUGCAUGCAAUGAAACAGGUGUUUGAUGAUACCAUGGAAUUACCUGCAAAUAAAUAAGACAUCAAAACCAAUCUGAAAAUUCAGAAACAGCAAAAAAUUAAGUUCAGUUGGCCGGGGAUUCCAUUGGAAAUUAAGAAUCGGUACUUGAAAUGGAAAUUAGUGAUUACCAUAUGGAUAACAGCUAAUAAAACCCCAGAAUCAAUUAGGGUUUAUCAUCAUAUAUUAAGCAAAAACUACGUGCAUUAUACAGAUGAUGAUUGGUAAAGGAAGAAGUCUUAAAAAUGCAUGCCAAUGGAAAAAUUAGGGUGAAAUUUGAUCAACAGAGUGAUGAUUAGGUAUGCAUGAUGGGAUUUUCCCAAUCCGUCCAUGAUGAUAAAAGCCUAUUAUUCUUGUAAACAUGUACUAAAAGAAAAAGGAAAAAUUAAGCCCUCCUACUUUUCCUUUUCACCCCCCAAAAAGUCUCCACUAUGCACCUCAAAUCAAACCUAAAAAUCUCUAUCACUCUCUUUGUGUCCAUUGGUUAAGAAGUACUAAUUUCAAUAUUGUGAUAUCUCACAAGUAUAGAAAAAAAGUUUUUAACACUAUAUAUACACGAACUCCUUUUAAUCUAAUAAAGUCAUGAGUAUCUGUCAUACUAAGAACAAACAAUAUCUAUGUGAGAGAAAAAAAGUUGUUAUAAAUAGUAUUAGAGUUUAUCUUUGAUUUCGUUGUAGAAGUUUGUUUGACCCCACGAGGGGUAUCUGUUUCUUUAAUCCCACAAUCCUACUGAACAUAGUUAAGACGUUGUAUUCGUAUGAGAGUCUAUUCAUGUAUUAAUUCCUCUUAACCUAAUACACUACUUAUAAAGUUGUGAGUACGUAUUAAACUUAGAAUAUGUACUCAUAGUAGGUCAUUACAAAUAUUUAUGCGGACUUACAUUUAAAUCCAAUAAAAUAGUGUUACACAAAUAUUAUAUAAGUAUGAAACACACUCUCAUUUGAGUAUAUAUAUAUAUAUAUAUAUAUAUAUGUACACUACCGAAUAAUGGUUCCUUAAUUUGAUUAUAUGUCUAAACUAGACAAUUGAUAAAAAAAAUACUUUGAAAUGAAAUUGAUGUAAAAGAAAAUAAUGAGUUAUAUAAAGAGUAAUUAAUGCGACCUUUGGCCUUAUAAUUAAGUAUGGUUAAAUUACAUUUUUUAAUUCUCUUAGUAUGUGAGACCCAAAUUAUUGAAUAUUUUUUUAGGUUGUUAUUCAAUUGAUGAGAAUGACAAAUUUAUGGCUACCAACAAUGAUGUUUAUUAUUUAAAGCUACUCAUUUUGAAGAAGUCGCAUACCAAUCCUUAAACUAAAUCAAUUAGGUCUUAACUACUUUUUUAUUUAAUUUUUUUUUUGUAAUGAGUUGGUCAACACUGAAGCCUUAAUUUUAUGUUUGAAAACUUUAUUUUAAAUACACUUCUAUUAAAAAUAAGAAUAAUGUUAGUAUAUUUAAUAGUUAUUACUACUUUGGUCCCACUCUGGAUGUGUUCGUUCUCUGAAGCUUCCCAUUUUCUCUCGAAGGUAAUUUUUGUCUAAUGUCUCUCUAAGUUUUGAAAAGUUUUCUCAAAGACUUGGCCACCACAUCCCCCCUGGACAAAAGUUUAAUUUGGUCAAAUUAAGCAGCCAGAAUUUUCUCCAGAAGCUCAAGGGAACCAUCUCACAUAUUAUUUGGAUUUCCUUUCUAUGCAAGCAAAUCAGCACUAUAAAUAGCGAACAUCUUGGCAUAAUGUUUCAUCGGUCAUACUUCCUCUCAAUAUUUCUGGUUUUCUCAGACAAAUUAAGAAGGGUGAAGAAUGGGGUUCUCAGCUAUACUAAGUUGCUUUGUGCCAUCAUCUUCCUCAUCCCGAGUCUUCAAUGAUGCUGGUGGGUCUAGUGUGAAGGAACCUAAGAGCAAGUCAUCGAAAUCUUCAUCAAGAGCUCCUAUCCCUGUCUCUUACUUCCCCGUUAACUCCUACCUCUCUCGCUUGUAGUGAUUAAUUUCACUGCAAGAGUUAGAAUUUGAAGAGUAUGAAUGGAUCAUUGAUUCAGUCUAGGUAUCAUAUGAUGGGGUUCUUCAUCAUGCAGUCGCUCAAGGAGUGAUGAUGGAGCUGGUUUUCAUGUAUUGUUUGAUGAUUAAUUUGCAAUAAUUUGAUUCAAGAAUAUCGUAUUAGAUCUUCAUCUUGUUAAUUUCCUCCAACUGCAUGCAAUGAAACAGCUGUUCGAUGAUACCAUGGAAUUACCUGCAAACAAAUAAGACAUCAAUCCCAAUUCUGAAAAUUCAGAAACAAGAAGAAAUUAAGUUCAGUUGGGGUUUCCAUUGGAAAUUAAGAAUUGGUACUUGAAAUGGCAAUAAGUGAUAACCAUAUGCGUACAGCUAGUUAAACCCCAGAAUCAGUUAGGGUUUAUCAUCAUGUAUUAAGCAAAAACUACUAAUUACAUUAUACAGAUGAUGAUCUAAAAGGAAGAAGUCUUAAAAGCCUAUUAUUCUUGUUUCCACAUGCACUAAAGGAAAACGGAAAAAUAAAGCCACCUGCUUUGCCUUUUCAUUCUCCCAAAAGUCUCCAAUAUGCACCUCAAAUCAAACCUAUGAAUCUCUGUCACUCUCUUUCUCUCCAUUAGUUAAGAAGUACUAAUUUCAAUACUGUGAAAUCUCACAAAUAUAGGAAAAAAUUUCCUAAUGCUAUAUAUACAUGAAUUCCUUUAAAUUUUAUAAAUUCAUUUUGAAGUUGAGUACCUUUUAAACUUAGAACGAGAACAAGUUGUUAUAAAUAGUAUUAAAGCCGAUCUUUGACCUUAUGUGAGAGUUUGUUUGACUCUAUAAGGGAUAUUUGACUUCUUUUUUUUUGUUCCACAAACUUAUGAAACAUAAUGAAAACAUUGUAUUUGUAUGAGAAUAUGUUAUUUAUGUAUGGACUUCUCUUAACCUGGUAUGAAACUUUUGAAGUUAUGAGUAUUUAUUGAACUCCGAGUAAGUUAUUAUAAAUAUUUAUGCAGACUUAUAUUCAAAUCCAGUAAAAUAGUGGGGAAAAGAUAAAAAACAUAACUUCAAUAUUAUUUGUUACACUUUUGGACUCAUGACCUCCUAUUGCAUAAACCUGAUUUUAAUAUACCAUCUUAAGUUAUUAAUUUUUUUAAAUACAUAAAUUGUUAGGUAAUAGACUAGUGAUGUAUCGGCUCUAACAUGUUGGACUUAUCUUUAAAUUGAACAUGUCCAACAUACUUGUUAGUGGAACCUAAUUAAUUGUUCAUUUGAAAGUGUCUUUUCCAUUCAUCUAAAACGUGCACAGUAAAUUCACAAACCCACCAAACUUGAUGGAACCAUUGGCUGAACAUACCAACUAUAUGUUAGCUAGCUUGCUCUUCCUUUCUCUACAUGGUAAGUAACAAAGGGGUAUUUAAUGUUUUAAUUAAAGUCAUUAAAUUUGGUAACUUCGCUGUUACAAAGAUCAACAACAAAAGUACCAAGAUUCAUAAAUAAGUUCAUCAUUUUCUUGUUCUUAGCAUUUGUAUCUAAGUGAAGCUAUGAAAAGAGUUCAAUUCUUUGUUACCCCACAAACCACAAUCAUUUUUCUUGCUAUUAGCAUCACUUCUAAUAAGUCAAUGUUGCCAUAACUCUUUCGGGUGUUCUACACUUUUAAAACUGCAUUGAUUUUUUUUUUUUUUUUUAAUUAUGAGUUUCUUUGUUCUCUAAAAUAUGGGUGAAUUAUACUAAGAAGUAUAAAUUCAGGAUUGAGAUUUAUAUCUAAAAAUUCAUAAAAGUUACAUUUGAUUUUUAAAAUAAUGCUUUUAGUAUUUUAAAAACUUUGCCAAUUGGGUUUAAAAAUUAGGCCAUUGAUAAAAAAAAUAUAAGGUUAAAAAAAAGAGAGUUAUAUAUAAAGUAGUGAGACCUUAUUUGACCUUACAAUUAAGUGUGGUUAAAUUACAUUUUUUAAUCCUUUUGGAAUGUAGAGACCCAAAUUAAUGAACAUUUUUUUAAGGGUGUUAUUCAAUUUAUGAGAAUGGCAAAUUUCCGGCUACCAACAAUGAUGUUUAUUAUUUAAGGCUACUAAUUUUGAAGAAGUCAACCACCAAUCCUUAAACUAAAUCAAUUAGGUCUUAACUACUUUUUUUCUUUAAUUUUUCUUGUAAUGAGUUGGUCAACCCUGAAGCCUUAAUUUUAUGUUUGAAAACUUUAUUUUAAAUACACUUCUAUUAAAAAUAAGAAUAAUGUUACCACCAUGGAUGUGUUUGUUCUCUGAAGCUUCCCAUUUUCUCUCAAAGGUAAUUUUUGUCUAAUGUCUUCCUAUUAUGAUUGUAUGUAAGAGUCUAAGUUUUGAAAAGUUUUCUCAAAGACUUGGCCACCACAUCCCCCGUGGACAAAAGUUUAAUUUGUCAAAUUAAGCAGCCAGAAUUUUCUCCACAAGCUCAAGGGAACCAUCUCAAAUAUUAUGUGGAUUUCCUUUCUAUGCUACCAAAUCAGCACUAUAAAUAGAGAGGCAUCUUGGCCUAAUACGUCAUCGGUCAUACUUCCUCUCAAUAUUUCUAGUUUUCUAAGGAGGGUGAAGAAUGGAGUUCUCAGCCAUACGAAGUUGCCUUGUGCCAUCAUCUUCCUCAUCCCGAGUCUUCAAUGAUGCCGGUGGUCUAUUGUGAAGGAACCUAAGAGCAAGUCAUCAAAAUCAUCAGCAAGAGCUCCGAUCCCGGUCUCUUACUUCACUGUUAACUCCUUCCUCUCUCGAUUGUAGUGAUUAAUUUCAUUGCAAGGUGGAGUUAGAAUUUGAAAAGAAUAUCAAUGGAUCAUUGAUUCAGUCUAGGUAUUAUAUGAUGGGUUCUUCAUCAUGCGGUUGAUUGAGAAGUGAUGAUAGAGUUUGUUUUUCAUGUACUGUACUUUGAUGAUUGAUUUGUAAUUUGAUUCAAGCGCAUUAUGUUAGAUCUUCAUAUCGUGAAUUUCCUCCUACCGGCUGCAAUGAAACAGCUGUUUUAAUACAAAUAAUUAAGACAUCAACCCCAGGUCGAUUUUGUCAUAAGUACUUUUUCAGGUGUUCUAUACUUUUUUGAAAGCGCGGACACGACAUUUCUUGAGAGAAUUAAAAUUAGAGUCAAAGCCGUCUCAACGCAAACGUCAUCCAUUAGAG
rnacentral:lncRNA from 1 species